rfam:Dipodomys ordii contig_24886, whole genome shotgun sequence.
GGGAAGGUGGCUCAGUGGUAGAGCGCUUGCCUUGCAUGCAUGAGGUCCUGGGUUCGAUUCCUCAGCACCCCA